rnacentral:ncRNA from 1 species
AAAGAACUGUAGGGACUACAGGGAUAGCCUAGGGCAUAUAAGAUAGAUAUAGCGUUUAGUCGAUCAUUUGUCUUUUUCUAGGAAAUUUCUAGUUACUAGAAAUAGUUCACUAAUUAUUAGUU